UACGAAGGGGGCUAGCGUUGCUCGGAAUCAAUGGGCGUAAAGGGUGCGUAGGCGGGUCUUUAAGUCAGGGGGGAAAUCCUGGAGCUCAACUCCAGAACUGCCUUUGAUACUGAAGAUCUUGAGUUCGGGAGAGGUGAGUGGAACUGCGAGUGUAGAGGUGAAAUUCGUAGAUAUUCGCAAGAACACCAGUGGCGAAGGCGGCUCACUGGCCCGAUACUGACGCUGAGGCACGAAAGCGUGGGGAGCAAACAGG
rnacentral:rRNA from 1 species